CUGUCAGUUUUGUUUUUCAGUUUCUGACAGUUACUUUGUUGUUUUUAUAACUGAUCAACUGCGAUCAUAACUACAGAUAUCGUAUACAAUAAAUUGACAAUUAUUUAAUUUUGUCUAGAAUAUAUCUGGGAUUAUUUGGGACGAUCGAAUUCUAAUUUUAAGGGCUAUUGUAUUAUCCUGUGUUUAAUAACUAUACAAAAAUUGACAAGGUAAUUAUUAACUUUAUAGGGAACCUUCGACUUCCACCGAAGCUGAUCAGCAGAGAAGAGGACAUGGCUGCCACCACAAUCAUGAAAUGGAACAAGAGACUCACCGCCAAGAAACUUCCAUUCCCCAAAACCAACUACCCAACAUCGAAUUCCAUUUCAAGAUAAAUUUCGGCGCACAUUGGGGCCAAAGAGUGGAAUCUGGGACUUCUUCGGACCAAAGGAAUUCCGAAUCAGCCCGGAGCCAACCGCUGAUCCGCCAGGAAUUUAACUUUGGCUCGAUGCCUUAUCCUCUGAGGGCAAGGCAGGCAGAGCCUCAUCCUGAAGGACAUCCCCACCGUCAUCAGGCCCACCACGACGAAAGCAAGACUGGGCAGCAGGGAGCUAGACCCCGUGAGACUAAUCCUAAGGCUGAUCUAUUAGUAGAUAUUUUAGGAAAUAAGGAUUUGUAAUCUCGACUGAUUGUUAAGGAAUGUUUUUUUUUUAUUUAUCGGUUGAACAUUCCAUAUAGUUCCUAAGAUAUAAACUUACGUAUAGAGAUCUGAUUUUCGAGUCACAAAAUUGGUUGUGUUAUUCGGUUCGAGUACUUAUUAUAAAAGACAUGAAAGACCAAAUUAACUUUUAACCGUCCGAGGCUUGUAUUAGUAAUUCUGCAGAGUAUUUAAUAUUUUUGAAUUAUAGUAUUAUAUUCACAGUAUUUUAGAAUCUCGUAAUUUCACAGAAUUUUCCAUAUUAAUUUGGAACUGUUAUUGCCAUCUACGAGAUUAAAUCUAGUGAUAAACGUUAUGAAUAAAAAUAUAGUAUAUUAUAUUGUCAAAAUUUAUAUUGUUAAUGUAACUUGGCCAAAGUAUAUAUAUCCAAAAAUAUACUUUUUGAUAUGUUUUAAUUACAACCAAAGCCUUCUAAUGUUGCAUAUUUUCUGUAGUCGACGGGAUUCACUCUCUAAAAUUGCUCAAAUUUUCUUUUAACAAUUUUUCUUACGAGACCAAUCUUAAGGUAGUACUACCGAUACAACAAGCGUCAAUAUCUUUUUUUUGGUUCUCUGUAGGACUAUAAAAAUUUAACUGAUUAAUUAUGAUAUAAUAAUGUACCAAUAUGCCAAGUUUCAUUAAAUUCUGAACGUGCAUGAAUUCUCUAACAGGUAGUACUACCUUAAUAAGUUCUAAGUUAUGACACUUUGUUUAAGGUAGUAGAGGUUAGGAUCUUUACGCUAGUAAAGUAUCAUUGCGCCAUCUCGUGGUGUAUUUUUUAAUAAGUGGUUUAUCUAAUUUAAUGUGUAUUCCCGCAUACAAACAGCGCCUCUAUCGAUGUCCUUCGGCAAACAAUGUAUACAUGUUUAACUUUUAAGGUUAUGUAGGUACUUUACUAGCUUAUGGUAAAAUAAUUCUAAAAUAAGUGUAUCAAUAACUCAUCACAAAAAUUUUACUCCAAUUCUCAGUACCGUUUUUGAGUAAUUAAUUUUUGAACUUACGUUUUAUUUGCAUCACUUUUUAUACGUCUAAGUGUAAAAUAUGUAAUUUCAAAAAAGUAAUUACUCAAAAACGGUACUGAGAAUCUAUAUAAAAUUUUUGUGUAGAGUUAUUGAUACUUAUCUUUCAAUAAAAAAAAAGUUUUAUAAUUUUCUUAGGCCCUAACCUCAACAUUUAAUCUAAACAGCUACAGUUUGUGUUUUUGUUUUUUGAGAUUACAGAGUAGGGAUGAAAGGAAAGUGCAACUUUUAAGAAGCAUCGACUAUAUUUUAGACAAUAACUUUUUACUUAUUGAUAAUAUAUAGUAAUAGAGUUAGAGUACCAUUUUCGGCCAGUAGUCAACCGAAUUAAUUUAUAAAAAUUGUAAUAUUGAAACGAUAUUUAUGUAUAAUUUUAAACAACGAAUCUCACAACGUGAUACUCUAUUGAUAUAAAUUUUGUUUAAUAGGUACUUCUACUCUAUUUAGUUUAAGUUAAAGUAAUAGGCCAGUCUUUUGGACGAAUGGUGUAGCGCAGUGUUUGACUGUUUGUACUUCUAGACUGGCUAGGCGUGGGUUCGACUCCCAUGCCGGGCUGUGCACGGGUCAAGAUUUUUGAUGGUUUUCCCCUUGUGCUACCGGGCACAAGAAAUUCGCGCAGUUUCCCUAAGUCGGACCAUCCCGCAUUUCUACGCUGAUAAGUACAAACCGCCAAAAUAAUCCUAUUAGAUUUAGUGUACUAAUUAGCGUGAAGAUAUACUGAAUUAAAAAAUCGUAUUGAAACAAAAGAAAAUGUAUCCAAUACUUUUUUUUAUUCAGGCCCCCCCCCCCCUAUGAUUAUUAUUAUGCGACCCGUCUACCCCCACCGGCUUACCCACCAUUAAGUUAAUGUAAAAUGUCAAUUAAUUAUAUGUCAUAGUUUAUAAAUUAUUAUCAGGGUAAUGUACAAAAUUUUAUAUGAAAACAUAUCAAGUUUGUACUUAAAAAUUGGCAGCUUUUUUACUGUAUUCCAUCAUUGGGUCGCAGCUGAUUAAUAAAAUUGCAUUGUUUUGUAAAA